rnacentral:misc_RNA from 1 species
UUUCCGUAGGUGAACCUGCGGAAGGAUCAUUGCCGAGUGAGGGUCUCUCAGGCCCGACCUCCCACCCUGUGUUUUUGUGACCUUGUUGCUUUGGCGGGCCCGCCUCGAUGAGAGGCCGCCGGAAGCUCACCGCUUUGGGCCCGUGCCCGCCAGUAGCCCCCUUAAAUUCUUAAUAAACCUGUCGUCUGAGUUAAUGGAUAUAAUGAAAAAAAACUUUUAACAACGGAUCUCUUGGUUCUG